CCUAGUGUACGCAAUAAUGCACUGCAUUUUUAUUGUCUGCCGUUUCACCUCGAUGCCUCGCCACAAACUUGAUGUUACGGAAUACGACCCAUUACGCUUUUGACCUGGAGUCUAAAAAUAUAUCCCUAAUCCCCUCAUCUCUGAUGGAUGUGAGAAAAAGAACGGCAAGGCGGCUCGGAAGGAGAAACACGUCGGAAUGGAAGCGAACAAGGAGGUGAGAUUCACGGAGGCGAGCGUGACCUUUGCACCUCCUGUUGAGCAACACGGAUGGUAACCUGACGCCUGAACCGGCGACUGCGGGGUUGAGUGCCGUGGGUCACGGCGGGCGAUGGCGGCGGCGGUGCCAGGAACAGGCGGCCUGGUAAACAAGGUGAAAGAUGGCCAAGUGGGAGAGAGUUCCUUGUGGAAAGAACCCAGGUAAUCUUUUUGUAAUAUGAGAACUUUAUUACCAUAAUAUUUAGACUUUAUUCCUGUAAGGUUAAAAUGUUUCCCUCACCUAAUUUUCCAAAAAUUUACAUUUGAUUUAGUUUUGGUGGCUUGGCAAAAUAUUACGACUGUUAUGAAUAUUAUAAGGGUCAGCGUGCCCUUCGGAGCUCUGAUAACGGGCAUGCGGUAGAGUGUUGGCACGCGCUAGAAAAAUGUUGAAAAGUUUGAACUCUGUGUACUUUGGACCGGGCUGGAGUUCAACAAGGUGAUAGGUCACUGGGGGUGCGACAGAUAAACAACUUCAGGCCAAAGCACUCUUUGACGCUUCCAUGAUGAUUAAAUUAUUAAAGACGUUGAAACCCCGAUCGUCACCUUUGGACUCCUAUUAGCCAAUAUAGUAGACAUAAUAAGAGACAAUAAGAUUUAUUAAGCAUAGAAAACCUGCUUAUCGCCUUCUAAAUACACUAAACAUGAAAUAGCACCCCUAUAGUCACCUUUAUACUCCUAUUACCCAAUAUAGUAGACAUAACAAGAAUAAAUAAGACACGUAGGACACAGACAACCUGUUUGCAACCUUCCAAAAACAGCUUUUUAACAUUAUUAGAGCUCUCAAAACAUGAAAUAACACCCCUAUAGUCACCUGUACACUCCUAUUACCCAAUAUAGUAGACAUAACAAGCGAAUAUAAGACACGUAGGGCAUGGAAAACCUGUUUGCAACCUUCGAAAAAGAGCUUUUUAACAUUAUUAGAGCCCUCUAAACAUGAAAUAACACCCCUAUAGUCACCUUUAUGCUCCUGUUACCCAAUAUAGUAGACAUAACAUAAGAAAAUAAGACAUGUAGGACAUAGAAAACCUGUUUGCAACCUUCCAAAAACAGCUUUUUAACAUUAUUAGAGCCCUCUAAACAUGAAAUAACACCCCUAUAGUCAUCUUUACACUCCUAUUACCCAAUAUAGUAGACAUAACACAAGAAAAUAAGAGACGUAGGACAUAGAAAACCUGUUUGCAAACUUCGAAAAACAGCUUUUUAACAGUAUUAGAGCUCUUUAGACAUGAAAUAACACCCCCAUAGUCAUCUUUAUACUCCUAUUAGCCAAUAUAGUAGACAUAACACAAGAAAAUAAGACAUGUAGGACAUAGAAAACCUGUUUGCAACCUUCCAAAAACAGCUUUUAAACAUUAUUAGAGCUCUCUAAACAUGAAAUAACACCCCUAUAGUCACCUGUACACUCCUAUUAUCCAAUAUGGCAGACAUAACAAGCGAAUAUAAGACACGUAGGGCAUGGAAAACCUGUUUGCAACCUUCGAAAAACAGCUUUUUAACAUUAUUAGAGCCCUCUAAACAUGAAAUAACACCCCUAUAGUCACCUUUAUGCUCCUGUUACCCAAUAUAGUAGACAUAACAUAAGAAAAUAAGACAUGUAGGACAUAGAAAACCUGUUUGCAACCUUCCAAAAACAGCUUUUUAACAUUAUUAGAGCCCUCUAAACAUGAAAUAACACCCCUAUAGUCAUCUUUACACUCCUAUUACCCAAUAUAGUAGACAUAACACAAGAAAAUAAGAGACGUAGGACAUAGAAAACCUGUUUGCAACCUUCCAAAAACAGCUUUUUAACAUUAUUAGAGCCCUCUAGACAUUAAAAUAACACCCCUAUAGUCACCUUUAUACUCCUAUUACCCAACAUAGUAGACAUAACACAAGAAAAUAAGACAUGUAGGGCAUAGAAAACGUGUUUGCAACCUUCCAAAACCAGCUUUUUAACAUUAUUAGAGCUCUUUAGACCUGAAAUAACACCCCUAUAGUCACCUUUACACUCCUAUUACCCAAUAUAGUAGGCAUAACACGAGAAAAGAAGACAUGUAGGACAUAGAAAACCUGUUUACAACCUUCGCAAAACAGCUUUUUAACAUUAUUAGAGCUCUUUAGACCUGAAAUAACACCCCUAUAGUCAUCUGUACACUCCUAUUAUCCAAUAUGGCAGACAUAACAAGCGAAAAUAAGACACGUAGGACAUAGAAAACCUGUUUGCAACCUUCCAAAAACAGCUUUUUAACAUUAUUAGAGCCCUUUAGACAUGAAAUAACACCCCUAUAGUCAUCUUUACACUCCUAUUACCUAAUAUAGCAGACAUAACAAGAGAAAACAAGACACAUAGGACAUAGGAAACCUGUUUACAACCUUCCAAAAACAUUAUUAGAGCUCUUUAGACCUGAAAUAACACCCCUAUAGUCAUCUGUACACUCCUAUUAUCCAAUAUGGCAGACAUAACAAGCGAAAAUAAGACACGUAGGACAUAGAAAACCUGUUUGCAACCUUCGCAAAACAGCUUUUUAACAUUAUUAGAGCUCUUUAGACCUGAAAUAACACCCCUAUAGUCAUCUUUACACUCCUAUUACCCAAUAUAGUAGGCAUAACAAGAGAAAAUAAGACACGUAGGACAUAGAAAACCUGUUUACAACCUUCCAAAAACAGCUUUUUAACAUUAUUAGAGCUCUUUACACCUGAAAUAACACCCCUAUAGUCAUCUUUACACUCCAAUUACCCAAUAUAGUAGACAUAACACAAGAAAAUAAGAGACGUAGGACAUAGAAAACCUGUUUGCAAACUACGAAAAACAGCUUUUAACAUUAUUAGAGCCCUCUAUACAUUAGAUAACACCCCUAUAGUCACCUUUACAGUCCUAUUACCCAAUAUAGUAGACAUACUCUUUAAGACUUUGGUGCUGCUGUGCUCUAUACUAGCGUCCCUGUCAUGAAACAAUGUUAGCAGCAGGGAAGCUGUUCCAUUUGUCACUUGAACUGUGGGGCGACGCAUCGCGAGGCACCAACACGUGCGGUGGAAGGAAGAGGAACGCCGCGGCCCGUGCGCCGUGGGCAGACUAAACAUAAACACCAGGAGCGUUUACAUUGGCGGCUGCAUGGCUGCUAGCGGCAACAUUAACACACUGGCAGAUGUGCGACGUCCAGCGACGCUCCGGAUGACGGCACAGGAUCGUUUAGCACAGGAUCGAUGCCGCAUAGCGCUAGCGUAGAUGCCGUACGUCACAUACAACGUAACAAUCGUAACACGAAGGAGCGGGACAGGAGGAGUGCUAACAUUGCUAACAUUACACCAGUUAAGCCUACUUGCUUAACAUCUUCCAAAUAGUUUAAAAAGCUGUUUUAAGAUGCGUAGCGAAGCCUGUGCACUCACAUUCCAACAGCGACAUCAGAGCCAGGUUAGCAUGUAGCACCGAUCAAACUUCCACCUCGCACAUUUGUAGCUAACCGACUGAUAGUAGGCUUCAUUUUAAGAUGCGUAGCGAAGCCUGCGUUUGGCAUCAUGAGCUAGCGCGCUAACAUUAGCUUUAGCAUUAGCUGAAAAAAAAGUCACAAAAGUCACUAUCCGACCGUGGGAUAGUUUUAUUAUAAGACGUGUAGCAAGGGCUGCUAUGCUAACAUUACAAUCAUUGCAUUUUAAUGGCAAUGUCAAGCUAGGUUAGCAUGUAGCACUGAUCGAACUUCCACCUCGCACAUUUGUAGCUAACCGACUGAUAGUAGGCUUCAUUUUGAUGUGUAGCGAAGCCUGUGCACUCACAUUCCAACAGCAACAUCAAGCUAGGUUAGCAUGUAGCACCGAUCGAACUUCCACCUCGCACAUUUGUAGCUAACCGACUGAUAGUAGGCUUCAUUUUAAGAUGUGUGGUGAAGCCUGCGUAUGGCAUCAUGAGCUAGCGUGCUAACAUUAGCUUUAGCAUUAGCAUUAGCUGAAAAAAAGUCACAAAAGUCACUAUCCGACCGUGGGAUAGUUUUAUUUUAAGACGUGUAGCAAGGCCUGCUAUGCUAACGUUACAAUCAUUGCAUUUUAAUGGCAAUGUCAAGCUAGGUUAGCAUGUAGCACCGAUCGAACUUCCACCUUGCACAUUUGUAGCUAACCGACUGAUAGUAGGCUUCAUUUUAAGAUGCGUAGCGAAGCCUGUGCACUCACAUUCCGACAGCAACAUCAAGCUAGGUUAGCAUGUAGCACCGAUCAAACUUCCACCUCGCACAUUUGUAGCUAACCGACUGAUAGUAGGCUUCAUUUUAAGAUGUGUGGCGAAGCCUGCGUAUGGCAUCAUGAGCUAGCGCGCUAACAUUAGCUUUAGCAUUAGCAUUAGCUGAAAAAAAGUCACAAAAGUCACUAUCCGACCGUGGGAUAGUUUUAUUUUAAGACGUGUAGCAAGGCCUGCUAUGCUAACGUUACAAUCAUUGCAUUUUAAUGGCAAUGUCAAGCUAGGUUAGCAUGUAGCACCGAUCGAACUUCCACCUCUCACAUUUGUAGCUAACCGACUGAUAGUAGGCUUCAUUUUAAGAUGCGUAGCGAAGCCUGCCUAUGGCAUCAUGAGCUAGCGCGCUAACAUUAGCUUUAGCAUUAGCUGAAAAAAAGUCACAAAAGUCACUAUCCGACCGAGGGAUAGUUUUAUUUUAAGACGUGUAGCAAGGCCUGCUAUGCUAACAUUACAAUCAUUGCAUUUUAAUGGCAAUGUCAAGCUAGGUUAGCAUGUAGCACCGAUCAAACUUCCACCUCGCACAUUUGUAGCUAACCGACUGAUAGUAGGCUUCAUUUUAAGAUGCGUAGCGAAGCCUGUGCACUCACAUUCCGACAGCAACAUCAAGCUAGGUUAGCAUGUAGCACCGAUCAAACUUCCACCUCGCACAUUUGUAGCUAACCGACUGAUAGUAGGCUUCAUUUUAAGAUGUGUGGCGAAGCCUGCGUAUGGCAUCAUGAGCUAGCGUGCUAACAUUAGCUUUAGCAUUAGCAUCAGCUGAAAAAAAGUCACAAAAGUCACUAUCCGACCGUGGGAUAGUUUUAUUUUAAGACGUGUAGCAAGGCCUGCUAUGCUAACGUUACAAUCAUUGCAUUUUAAUGGCAAUGUCAAGCUAGGUUAGCAUGUAGCACCGAUCAAACUUCCACCUCGCACAUUUGUAGCUAACCGACUGAUAGUAGGCUUCAUUUUAAGAUGCGUGGCGAAGCCUGCGUAUGGCAUCAUGAGCUAGCGUGCUAACAUUAGCUUUAGCAUUAGCAUUAGCUGAAAAAAAAGUCCACCCCGAAUCCCAUGCAGCAUUCCCAGUCAUUCCGUCCCUUGGCCUCCCUCCUCCCUUGCAUCUUCCAUACUCGCCCCCCCCACCCCCGUGCCCAAAAGGCCGUCAUAUUCCGAAUCCUCUCACUGACAGCUGGCUCUGAUUAUGGCUGUGAAAAAUGGAGCAGUCACGCCAACAAAUCCCCCCCCCCACGCCUCCGCCUCCUCCUCUGCUCCGACUCCACAACAUUCCUGCAGCAUGACUCCGCACUUUCUCUCUCCCGGUGCUGCCAGGGCCCGUCGCCGCCUCCCUCGACAACGCCACUGUCUUUCCUCGCCGCCAAUGUUUACCUUUGCAGGGGUUGCACAUGGGGUGAGGGGGGUACACCGAAUUGUGACCGGGGGUGGGGGGCAUUGUCAACUACGGCAAAUUCUAAAAAUUUAAAAUUUAAAAUUUAACUUGUAAUAUUGUGAGGAAAAAUAAUGUCAUUAUUGUAGCAUAAAAUUUUAUUAUUCAAGAAAAAUGCCAUCAAAGAUCAUCUAUAUGACAGCAGCACACUACUGUUUUCAAGGACCUCUGCGCAAAAACACGAGUCAAAGAUCCUUAAUAUGACAGGAGUACUCUGCAGUAUCAAAGAUCCUCUAUAUGCCACUUGCGCGCCAUCAAAGAUCAUCUAUAUGACAGCAGCACACUACUGUUUGCAAGGACAUGUGCGCAAAAACGGCAGUCAAAGAUCCUUAAUAUGACCUCAGAACUGUGUCAAAGAUCCUCUAUAUGGCAGUUGCGCGCCAUCAAAGAUCAUCUAUAUGACAGCAGCACACUACUGUUUUCAAGGACAUCUGCGCAAAAUGCGGGUCAAAGAUCCUUAAUAUGACCUCAGAACGUUGUCAAAGAUCCUCUAUAUGCCACUUGCGUGCCAUCAAAGAUCAUCUAUAUGACAGCAUCACACUACUGUUUUCAAGGACCUCUGUGCAAAAAUGCGAGUCAAAGAUCCUUAAUAUGACCUCAGAACUGUGUCAAAGAUCCUCUAUAUGCCACUUGCGCGCCAUCAAAGAUCAUCUAUAUGACAGCAGCACACUACUGUUUUCAAGGACCUCUGCGCAAAAAUGCGAGUCAAAGAUCCUUAAUAUGACAGGAGUACUCUGCACUGUCUAAGGACCUACUGCACAGAACGGUAUCAAAGAUCCUCUAUAUGCCACUUGCGCGCCAUCAAAGAUCAUCUAUAUGACAGCAGCACACUACUGUUUUCAAGGACCUCUGCGCAAAAACGCCAAAGAUCCUUAAUAUGACCUCAGAACCGUGUCAAAGAUCCUCUAUGUGCCACUUGCGCACCAUCAAAGAUCAUCUAUAUGACAGCAGCACACUACUGUUUUCAAGGACCUCUGCGCAAAAACGCGAGUCAAAGAUCCUUAAUAUGACAGGAGUACUCUGCACUGUCUAAGGACCUACUGCACAGAACGGUGUCAAAGAUCCUCUAUAUGCCACUUGCGCGCCAUUAAAGAUCAUCUAUAUGACAGCAUCACACUACUGUUUUCAAGGACCUCUGCGCAAAAUGCGAGUCAAAGAGCCUUAAUAUGACCUCAGAACUGUGUCAAAGAUCCUCUAUGUGCCACUUGCGCGCCAUCAAAGAUCAUCUAUAUGACAGCAGCACACUACUGUUUUCAAGGACCUCUGCACAAAAACGCCAGUCAAAGAUCCUUAAUAUGACCUCAGAACUGUGUCAAAGAUCCUCUAUAUGGCAGUUGCGCGCCAUCAAAGAUCAUCUAUAUGACAGCAGCACACUACUGUUUUCAAGGACCUCUGCGCGAAAACGCCAGUCAAAGAUCCUUAAUAUGACAGGAGUACUCUGCACUGUCUAAGGACCUACUGCACAGAACGGUAUCAAAGAUCCUCUAUAUGCCACUUGCGCGCCAUCAAAGAUCAUCUAUAUGACAGCAGCACACUACUGUUUUCAAGGACCUCUGUGCAAAAACGCGAGUUAAAGAUCCUUAAUAUGACAGGAGUACUCUGCACUGUUUAAGGACCUACUGCACAGAACGGUAUCAAAGAUCCUCUAUAUGCCACUUGCGCGCCAUCAAAGAUCAUCUAUAUUACAGCAGCACACUACUGUUUUCAAGGACAUCUGCGCAAAAACGCCAGUCAAAGAUCCUUAAUAUGACCUCAGAACUGUGUCAAAGAUCCUCUAUGUGCAACUUGCGCGCCAUCAAAGAUCAUCUAUAUGACAGCAUCACACUACUGUUUUCAAGGACCGCUGUGCAAAAAACGGCAGUCAAAGAUCCUUAAUAUGACCUCAGAACGGUGUCAAAGAUCCUCUAUAUGCCACUUGCGCGCCAUCAAAGAUCAUCUAUAUGACAGCAUCACACUACUGUUUUCAAGGACCUCUGCGCAAAAACGCGAGUCAAAGAUCCUUAAUAUGACAGGAGUACUCUGCACUGUCUAAGGACCUACUGCACAGAACGGUAUCAAAGAUCCUCUAUAUGCCACUUGCGCGCCAUCAAAGAUCAUCUAUAUUAUAGCAGCACACUACUGUUUUCAAGGACCUCUGCGCAAAAAUGCCAGUCAAAGAUCCUUAAUAUGACCUCAGAACGGUGUCAAAGAUCCUCUAUAUGCCACUUGCGCGCAAUCAAAGAUCAUCUAUAUGACAGCAGCACACUACUGUUUUCAAGGAACUGUGCGCAAAAACACCAGUCAAAGAUCCUUAAUAUGACCUCAGGAACUACUGCACAGAACGGUGUCAAAGAUCCUCUAUAUAGCAGUUGCGCGCCAUCAAAGAUCAUCUAUAUGACAGCAGCACACUACUGUUUUCAAGGACCUUUGCGCAAAAACGCCAGUCAAAGAUCCUUAAUAUCUCAGAACGGUGUCAAAGAUCCUCUAUAUAGCAGUUGCGCAUAAUCAAAGAUCAUCUAUAUAACAAGAGGACCUAUAUGCGAAAACACUUAGGAGCGUGUGUGCUGUUUUCUACAGCCAAAAAUGCUAUGCUGCCUUUUUGAAGGACAGAACAGUCAAAUUUCAAAGAUCCUCUAUAAGACAAAGAGUGCUCUGAGGUUUAAGCUUCCCAUUUUCCUCCUCCGCUUCAUCAUAAUCUUCUCGUAUUCAAAACGGCUCCAUAAUCCCGCCGUCUUCAGACAGGGAAGCGACGCGAGGGCGACGCGAGUGACGCCGCGGAGGCCAGCAGAUGCCGAGGGUGUCGGGUUGCAAAAAAAAAAAAAAACACGAUAGAAGACUUCCAUCCAUCACGCUGACCAUGCGGGAUCUUCUCCUACGACUUCCUGGAUCUUACCUCAGCCGGAUGAGUCAUGGCCGAGCUUCCAUGUGUGCUCCAUCUGUUCUUCUCCGCCACAUUUUUCUUCCCGUGACACUAAAACGUCAGGAUGACAUCCAUCGUUAAGCUGGAGUCUACCCCAGCAGGGUACACCCUACUGUAAAAACAUCAGUCAAAGAUCCUCUAUUCUGGAGCAAAAUGCCAGUCAAAGAGCCUCAAUAUAAAAGUAGCAUGCAAUCAAAGAUCAUCUAUAAGACACGAUCAGUCAGUUGUCUUUAAGGACCUACUGCAUAAACGCCAGUCAAAGAUCCUCUAAUUGACAGAGGCACUCUGCUGUUUGUAAAGAUGUACUGCAAACCCCCCAAUCAAAGAUCCUCUAUAUGAAAGUAGCAUGCCAUCAAAGAUCAUCUAUAAGACAUGAUCAGUCUGCUGUCUUUAAGGGCCUACUGCAGAAACGCCAGUCAAAGAUCCUCUAUAUGAAAGUAGCAUGCCAUCAAAGAUCAUCUAUAAGACAUGAUCAGUCUGCUGUCUUUAAGGGCCUACUGCAGAAACGCCAGUCAAAGAUCCUUUAUUUGACAGAGGCAUUCUGCUGUUUGUAAGGAUGUACUGCAAAAGCCCCAAUCAAAGAUCAUCUAUAUGAAAGUAGCAUGCAAUCAAAGAUCAUCUAUAAGACACGAUCAGUCUGCUGUCUUUUAUGGACCUACUGCAGAAACGCCAGUCAAAGAUCCUCUAUUCUGGAGCAAAAUGCCAGUGAAAGAACCUCAAUAUGAAAGUAGCAUGCAAUCAAAGAUCAUCUAUAAGACACGAUCAGUCUGCUGUCUUUAAUGACCUACAGCAUAAACGCCAGUCAAAGAUCCUCUAAUUGACAGAGGCACUCUGCUGUUUGUAAGGAUGUACUGCAAAAACCCCAAUCAAAGAUCCUCUAUAUGAAAGUAGUAUGCAAUCAAAGAUCAUCUAUAAGGCAUGAUCAGUCUGCUGUCUUUAAGGGCCUACUGCAUAAACGGCAGUCAAAGAUCCUUUAGUUGACAGAGGCACUCUGCUGUUUGUAAAGAUGUACUGCAAAAACCCCAAUCAAAGAUCCUCUAUAUGAAAGUAGCAUGCAAUCAAAGAUCAUCUAUAAGACACGGUCAGUCUGCUGUUUUUAAGAACAUACUGCAAAAAAACGAUGGUCAAAAAUCCUUUGAUUGACAGGAGUGCUAUCAAAGAUUGUCUAUAAGACAUGUUCAGUCUGCUGUUUUUAAGUAUCUUGUGCAGAAAAACUGUGAAAAAUCUGUUGAUUGACAGGAGUGCUAUCAAAGAUCGUCUAUAAGACAUGUUCAGUUUGCUGUUUUUAAGUAUUACUGCAAAAAACGAUGGUCAAAAAUCCUUUGACAGGAGUGCUAUCAAAGAUUGUCUAUAAGACAUGUUCAGUCUGCUGUUUUUAAGUAUCUUCUGCAGAAAAACGGUGAAAAAUCUGUUGAUUGACAAGAGUGCUAUCAAAGAUUGUCUAUAACCUACUGCAAA